rnacentral:rRNA from 1 species
CAAGAUUAAGCCAUGCAUGUCUAAGUCCAAGCUGUGUCUUGACACGGCGAGACCGCGGACGGCUCAUUAAAUCAGUCGUUGUCCAAAUGGGCUAGUGCUAAGUUACUUGGAUAACUGUGGUAAUUCCAGAGCUAAUACAUGCGACUUAUACUCUGAUGCGGUGUGUUCGCCCGCUGCUGACGAGUGCUUUUAUUAGACCAAACCGCUGGGGUUGACACUUUCUCUUGAGAUUGUGAAGGCCUGUUCAGCUACGUGGUGACUCUGGAUAACCUUUUGAUGACAAGCGUACGUACCUUCUCGUAAGGACGACGCUGCCACUUUCGAGUGUCUGCCUUAUCAGCUGUCAACCGCUCGCUAUACGCGACCGAUGGCUUUGACGGGUAACGGGGAAUCAGGGUUUGAUUCCGGAGAGGCAGCCUGAGAGACGGCUACCACGUCCAAGGAAGCAGCAGGCA